UACGUAGGGUGCGAGCGUUGUCCGGAAUUAUUGGGCGUAAAGAGCUCGUAGGCGGUUUGUCGCGUCUGCCGUGAAAGUCCGGGGCUCAACUCCGGAUCUGCGGUGGGUACGGGCAGACUAGAGUGAUGUAGGGGAGACUGGAAUUCUGGUGUAGCGGUGAAAUGCGCAGAUAUCAGGAGGAACACCGAUGGCGAAGGCAGGUCUCUGGGCAUUAACUGACGCUGAGGAGCGAAAGCAUGGGGAGCGAACAGG
rnacentral:rRNA from 1 species